CUAGCCUGGUGCUAAGUAGCCUGGUGCUAACUAGCCUGGUGCUAACUAGCCGGUGUGCUGAUUCGGCAUUUCAAACAUACAAACACCGCUUGAUGAGGAGAUGCUGCUCCGUUAUUGAUUGAAGUAAAGUCUGAAUGUCAUUACUCCACCACUCCCGUCCUUGCACGCUACACCGCUACAACAAAGAUGACGGGGGAGAAGACGAUGUCGAAGGAGAGGAAUUGUUCACAAACGCCUCGCUUGCUCUCGCUGCGGCUGCCACAAUCUUCCCAGAGACAAGACUCGGAGCCGCAGAAGUCCCAAAGAGGUGCGUACAAAUACCAGCAGGGGUGAGAAACAAACACAGGAAGUGAGCCGGCAGCAUUUCCUGUCACACACACAAUAAAAGACUUGUAGAAAGUGUGUGUACCGCUCAUUCCCGACGGACUCCGUCGCCGUCACAAAAGUGUUUUUUGAACUCGGAGCAGACAUUUUCUUUCCCCAGGCGGCAAAACAGACGGAAUAACAACCACAAGAAACGUCUUUAAAAACAGGCUGGAGGCUGCAGAACCGCUCAGGUCCAACACGUCACCUUAGGACACGUGCGGCCUGCAGCUCCUUUAUUAACGUUCUAAAAAUACUAUUGCACCGAAAAGUGGAACAAAAAAAGCCAACAGGUGUAACAAAACAGUGAAAAGUUGCAAAGUUGACUAACAACACAAAGAUGACAAAAAGGAUGUUUUUUUUUUCUUUAAAACCGUCAUUGCUCCAAAAAUAAUA